GAUGAACGCUGGCGGCGUGCCUAAUACAUGCAAGUCGAGCGAGUGGAUUAAGAGCUUGCUCUUAUGAAGUUAGCGGCGGACGGGUGAGUAACACGUGGGUAACCUGCCCAUAAGUCUGGGAUAACUCCGGGAAACCGGGGCUAAUACCGGAUAACAUUUUGAACCGCAUGGUUCGAAAUUGAAAGGCGGCUUCGGCUGUCACUUAUGGAUGGACCCGCGUCGCAUUAGCUGGUUGGUGAGGUAACGGCUCACCAAGGCAACGAUGCGUAGCCGACCUGGGAGGGUGAGCGGCCACGCUGGGACUGAGACACGGCCCAGACUCCUACGGGAGGCAGCAGUAGGGAAUCUUCCGCAAUGGACGAAAGUCUGACGGAGCAACGCCGCGUGAGUGAUGAAGGCUUUCGGGUCGUAAAACUCUGUUGUUAGGGAAGAACAAGUGCUAGUUGAAUAAGCUGACACCUUGACGGUACCUAACCAGAAAGCCACGGCUAACUACGUGCCAGCCGCCGCAGUAA
rnacentral:rRNA from 1 species